UCAGUCACCGAUAUCGGGAGUGCGCCUU
rnacentral:sRNA from 1 species